UUAAUUCCGCAAUAAAUCACAGAAUAGCGCAAAGUCACACCAGCCCCAAGAUCAGGACUGCUGCUGGACUUCCUUGAUAUAGAUAACCAGUACAAACAUAAUAUUACAUCGGGUUGAGCCAGAGAGUGCUCAACAUUCUUUUAAAAACUUGCAAUAUAGGUGGUGGUGGAAUAUAACAGUGGUGUGACGGUGAUACAACACCGAUAUAAUAAAAUAAAUCCAAGCGUCAGAGUGAGGCUUGACUAUUUUAUUCGUGAAGUGGAAGCACUGCAGAUGAUACAUGUGGUAGACUCCAAGACCACGGUUGACUGACUGGGAACACCUCUAAGCGUCAGGCUCGCUAGCGCAAUCCUCCUCCACAAGCUCGUCCUCCUCCAGGUCUGGCCAAGACAAUAGCCAGGAACAAGCCUGUGAGUACGUUGGAAUGACAUUAAGAACAAGAGUUAUAAUGAAUGCAAAUGCUCAUGAUGGGCUAUGUUAAAUGCACAUGCUGACUGGAAUUAAAUCAUGGCAUGAAAUGUCAACCUAGUGUGGAUAAAUAAUCGUAUACCAUUAGUAAUAACUAAGAAAUUAAAGUGGAACAUCGGGUGUUAGACCGCCCGAGAAAUUCCAAGAAAAACGGCAAGCGGGUGUCUAAAAGCGACACCUAGAGAGGUGUUUAAAAGAAAUGCCAAACAGGUGUCUAAAAACGAUGCCUCGUAAGGUCUUGAAAAUAAAUGCCAAACAUGUGUCUAAAAGCGACGCUUUAAGUGGCCUUGAAAAUAAAACUCAGUAUCCGGGUAGUCUAGCCAUCCCAAGUGAUACUCAGAAAAGAAAAUAAAGCUGAGUGCACGGGUAGUCUGGCCUCCCAAGUGGCACUCAGUACAGUUGAAUAAGAGAAAUGGGUUAGUCCACAACAAUAAUAACAUGCACACCAAUUAUAUUCAUGACAACAUGGAUGGUGACAAUAGUUACCCUGCAAAGUGAGUCAAGUUCAAUUUAAUUAUUUUCCUCCAAAGACCAACACCGGGACCGAUACUUGAGCCUUCCCAAUUGUGUCCUUGACCGUGGACACGACUAUUCGAAUAGAUGUAACUCUGCUGAGGGUGUACUCUUUACCCACGUGUAUAGGAUUUCUCUAGCCAACACCGAGACGCUGACUAAUUCCCAUUACGGUCUUUGGGUUAGUAACAUACUUGACAAGCACACACCAUAAUAACUUUCCGGAUGCUAGGAAUCACCCAAAGUAUCUUUCAAGAAAAACUCUAAGUUUGGGAGACCACCGUCUCGAAUAGCAUGGGAUCACUAUUAAUACACGCGGGUUACAAGGGGUGCCCCCUCUCGGCCCGGCCGGAUACACCCAUGCCCCCUGACCCGAUGACUGGCAUUAGACCAUGGCCCUGGAACCCUCAUCGUGGCCCCUCUAAGUGGUGUGUACAUGGAAAGGGGUUAACAACUUACUAAAUCACACUUCCCUUGCGGGAAGACAAGUGGCAGCACGGUGCUUAGUUAGGCUUAACGGAACAAGACUCGAUCUAGGUCGACUGAGAAGGUGUUGUUAUUAAGACUGGCAUGUCUCACACGCCACAGUGACACCGUCGUGUCAUAACACAGCCCGUGCCCAUCGGCACGUCCGAGACAGGAGAUGCACUCCUGGACUCUUACCAUAUUCAACAUUAGCAAAAAUUCUGGUGAAAGCAAUAGUGCUCACAUGACAUGCAAUAGUGCUUGUGCAAUAGUGCCCAAACUGACAUGACUAGUGCAUGUUUCUACUAUUACUACUAUACGGUGCAAGACCCUCCGAUGCAACCAUGCAUGCAACUCAUUAUAUCCCAAGUUCAAUAAUGCUUGCCUUGACCAAAGUAAUCAGCAAGUGGUUCUUCGAAAUUCCCGGUAUAGUCUCCCUCUUCAACAUCCAAAUUCAACUUUUUUGCAACAGUACAAAAAGUUGUCUCAAAAUAUUUUUAAUUAAGUACUAAAAAAACUAGAGUGAAAAACAAGAAUUUCAGAAAAAGAAUCGACUGAAAAUGAUCUGUGGUUUAAAAGUUACUAAGGAUUUAAAACCAGGGACCUCUCUUUGAAUAAAAUAACUGUCAGCAGGUCUCUGCGGUAAUAACUGAAAGCGCAUCGGACAGAAGUACGCUUCCCGUCGCAGAAAGCGUAAAGAGGCAAAAGACACUUUCGUAAACAACAGAAAUGAACAAAACACUGACGAGUGGGCCCCACCCGCCAGCUAUGAAAUUCAAACGCGCUCUACGCGCGUGUGUACAGAGGGGAUGCGGUGGUCACCGGCGGCGAUCGCCGGCGUUUCAGGAGGCGGCGAUGGUCGGGAUGUGUUUGGGGUGGCACCUCGCGUCGGUGGGUGGUGGUGGUGGUCGCUGGCGAGCACCAGAACGACGGCGAGGUCGUCUCCGGCGGACAGCGGCGUUGGGUGGCUGUGGGCUUCGCCGAAGGGGGCCCCGGUUGUCAAAUUGAAGCGUGGGGUCGAUGAGUGGGUGUGUUGUGAGGAUACUGGUGAAAUUUUGGAGGUGGAGGUGGAGUAACGGCGUCGUGCAGAUCGGGGAGGGUGGCGGCGGAUCGGUGGUCGGAGCCGGGGAAGAAGACCUCCUCGACGUCGUUCGACCCAUAUGAGAGGCGAUUGGGGAUAGGUGGAGGUGCGGUG
rnacentral:lncRNA from 1 species